CAUCCAGCAGUGCCACUAAAAUCCCUUGGCAUACCGUCUGUCAAGCAACCAAAAUGUCCCUGUCACUCUUCUAUUUGGUGAGAGUGAAGGAAUAAGCCAAGGCAGUCAUGUUUCUGAUUCCUUUGUUUCACUUCUCCAUCCUCAGGGUGUGAGGUUCUUGAACAGUGGAGCCAACGGACAGUUCCAGAGUGGAGCAUCGGAGUCAUAUGAGAAUUGAGAACCUCUGAAAGUCAGUCAGUGAUCCCCCCAUGGCCAACUGGUGUUAGUUUUGAGCACAACCUAAAGCUUGAGGAGGGACUGCAGGAGAAACAAGGCAACUGAAAAUGGAGUUGAUGCAGAAGGACUCCAAGCUUGUAAAAAGUCACCAUCAUUAUCCCUGGGUUGGGCGUUUCCUUUCUUCUUUUGCUUUGAUGUUUUUGGAGACAGUGGUAUCCGUUUGUGCGGCCAUACAAGUAUAAGAAAGUACCUGUUUCUCAACAUGAUUGCCAACACUGCAGAUUCCCUGUACUGUUCCAACAGGAACUGUUUGUGGAUUGUGAACUAGUACUGAAGUUUACCAUACUGCUCUGGAACCAUACUGCCUGGAUUAAGUCCCAGCCCUGCCAUUUACCAGCUCUGUGACUUUGGGAAAGUUUCAAGAUCUUUCCUGAUCUCAUUUUCUUCUUCUGGAAAACAUGAACAAUAGCAAUAUCAGCCUAAUCAUGUUGUGAUGAUUAAAUGGAAUAAGACACACUGAGCAUUAAUAAAA